rnacentral:rRNA from 1 species
AUGAGGAAUAUUGCGCAAUGGGCGAAAGCCUGACGCAGCGACGCCGCGUGGGUGAGGAAGUCCUUCGGGAUGUAAAGCCCUUUUCUCCGGGACGAAACGGACGGUACCGGAGGAAUAAGCCCCGGCUAACUACGUGCCAGCAGCCGCGGUAAUACGUAGGGGGCAAGCGUUGUCCGGAUUUACUGGGCGUAAAGCGCGUGUAGGCGGAAGUGCCAGUCCGGCCUGAAAGCCCCCGGCUCAACCGGGGAUCCGGGUCGGAAACUGUACUUCUUGAGGGCGGCAGAGGCGUGUGGAAUUCCUGGUGUAGCGGUGAAAUGCGUAGAGAUCAGGAGGAACACCCAAGGCGAAGGCAGCACGCUGGGCCGGCCCUGACGCUGAGACGCGAAAGCGUGGGGAGCGAACGGGAUUAGAAACCCCGGUAGUCC